rfam:Trichobilharzia regenti genome assembly, scaffold: TRE_scaffold0002815
AUUCAGUUGACGAGUCCCAAAUAGAACGAAAUGUGUAUCUUGGAU